rnacentral:rRNA from 1 species
UACGAAGGGGGCUAGCGUUGCUCGGAAUCACUGGGCGUAAAGGGUGCGUAGGCGGGUCUUUAAGUCAGGGGUGAAAUCCUGGAGCUCAACUCCAGAACUGCCUUUGAUACUGAGGAUCUUGAGUACGGGAGAGGUGAGUGGAACUGCGAGUGUAGAGGUGAAAUUCGUAGAUAUUCGCAAGAACACCAGUGGCGAAGGCGGCUCACUGGCCCGGUACUGACGCUGAGGAGCGAAAGCGUGGGGAGCGAACAGG